AAGUCGAACGGUAACAGGAAGAAGCUUGCUUCUUUGCUGACGAGUGGCGGACGGGUGAGUAAUGUCUGGGAAACUGCCUGAUGGAGGGGGAUAACUACUGGAAACGGUAGCUAAUACCGCAUAACGUCGCAAGACCAAAGAGGGGGACCUUCGGGCCUCUUGCCAUCGGAUGUGCCCAGAUGGGAUUAGCUAGUAGGUGGGGUAACGGCUCACCUAGGCGACGAUCCCUAGCUGGUCUGAGAGGAUGACCAGCCACACUGGAACUGAGACACGGUCCAGACUCCUACGGGAGGCAGCAGUGGGGAAUAUUGCACAAUGGGCGCAAGCCUGAUGCAGCCAUGCCGCGUGUAUGAAGAAGGCCUUCGGGUUGUAAAGUACUUUCAGCGGGGAGGAAGGGAGUAAAGUUAAUACCUUUGCUCAUUGACGUUACCCGCAGAAGAAGCACCGGCUAACUCCGUGCCAGCAGCCGCGGUAAUACGGAGGGUGCAAGCGUUAAUCGGAAUUACUGGGCGUAAAGCGCACGCAGGCGGUUUGUUAAGUCAGAUGUGAAAUCCCCGGGCUCAACCUGGGAACUGCAUCUGAUACUGGCAAGCUUGAGUCUCGUAGAGGGGGGUAGAAUUCCAGGUGUAGCGGUGAAAUGCGUAGAGAUCUGGAGGAAUACCGGUGGCGAAGGCG
rnacentral:rRNA from 1 species